GAUGAGAAGCUUCGAUUAAGGUUCGAUUCGAGCGCAGCGAGAAAGCGUUGCCGCAGGCAACGACCCGAAGGGCGAAGCGCGCAGCGCUGAGUCAUCCUUCCCCCACCACCA
rnacentral:sRNA from 2 species